GAAAGCAGCCCUGGCGUUUCCUGUCUGACCUUCAGCUAGCCCCGUGGGACAGCCGUGGGCCCUGGGGCUGUGACUUCUCCUGGGUCCCUGCUGGCAUUUCUCUAUUUCUAUCCUCAGUGGAGCUCUUUUCCUCACCUGGGUCUGUCCUCCCCUUGAACACCAGGAAAGCUUUCUGGACAUGCAGCAGCUUUUGGUGAACCUAAUGGCCACAGAAAAAAAGAGCUCAUCUCAGCAUGACCAAGAUGAACAAAUGGAGUCCACAACAACUGUGGCUGAUGGCAGUCUGGCUAAGAAAGGCAUAGCAAAGAUAUUCAAAGGCAUAGAAAUUAUGCUCGAUGAAUCAACAACUGUGGCUGAUGGCAGUCUGGCUAAGAAAGGCAGAUCAAAGAUAUUGAAAGGUGUAGAAAUGAUAAUUGAAACAUUCGGUAAGUGUGCUGGAUCCCAUUGCUCUUGUCAGAGGCCAUCCUUGGGAACCCUUGGGAUGGGAUGGGAUGGGAUGGGAUGGGA
rnacentral:lncRNA from 1 species